GGCCAUUAUCCGGUCUUUUCACCCAACCUCGUGGGUGAGAGGGUAGUGUAGGCGCUAUACAGUUCUAGAUAAUUGAAGUUGAGCAAAAUAGCUUACGGCAUGGCACAUUUAAUAGUGAUUUCUUCCCUCUUUACUACACACUACUUUACUGCUUUAACCUGUAAUUCGUAAUGUUUGUUGUUGAUGGAAUCAAAUGGUCCAGGCCUUUGUAAAAGACGUAAUUAUUUGCUAUAGGCCACUAGUGAACUGGCAAGCGACAUGUAUCAAAACGGUAGUUCUCAAAUGUAUUAUUUUACGUCUGCGGACUGUGUUCACUUGUUCUUAUUAUGAUAGAUUUAUCAGCUCGAGUUGCUAACGGUAGUUAGCAGGCUAACUGCUAAAUGGCUAGCGUUUGUCUGGCCCGACAUCACAAAGGAAACGAGCGUGACUGACCUCCAGCUAAUCUGUUCAUCCGGUGCUGGGGUCACCCUGGUGAGGAGAGUCUGCCACAGACUGUGGGGGAAAAACCAAGACAAAGUCACUGCUGGUGGAACGAAUGUUAAGAGAACAAACUGGUGGAUCUCAUUGGGGGUGAUUUUUGUUCAUUGACUAGUUGUUAUUGGUAUAUAAAUAAACGUCAUUUAAAAAAAAUAAA